CGCAUGCCCGGCCCUGCCGCCAUCUUGAAUUGAGUACCGUGCUUCUUGUUUCCUCACGCUGCCCCACGAAGCUGGGGGGUCAGCAGGACCAUUUGACACCUGGAACUCUGGUCUAAAGUGCCAGAUUCGAGGCCUCUACACGCGGCGCCAUAUGAGCGGGUCAAAUUAGUCUGAGCGCAAAGGAAAAAAGAUACCUUAGGUGUAAAAGUUAAGCUGUUUAUUUGAGGUUUCCUGAGGACGAAUAAAUUUAUUCUAUUUUAAAAGAUGAUCACUGGACACACUUGUUUUUCCAGUGUUUCUCUACCACCAAUUUGGAAAAGAAACCUGUAAAGGAGCAUCACUAGCAACAUUACUUUGAUAAAGUACAAGAAGACACACCAAAAAUUUAAUAAUAAUGUGCUAAUAAAAUUAUUAAGUUCACCAGACAUAUAUUACAUAAUAUUAUUUUGUGAGAUAACUAACACUUUAGCCUUUCUCAUUUUACAUUUUAACUAAAUUUAUCACAAAAGAAAUGUAAAAAUACCAUAUAUUAUUUUAUAAGACCAGGCCCACUCAUAUAACAUCAGCAUUUAUAUUUACCUCAGUAAAGUUAAUGAAGUCAAAUUCUAUGUGGCCAUCCUGACCGUGUCAUGAAAAGUAUACAUUCUAACUAGAUUUGUUUUGGAGUAUUAAUUACCACCACUCUUGAAUGUAAUUAAUGUGUCAUUUUUAAAACCUGGGAAGAGCUUUAACAUAGAAACUUGGACAUCUUUCCAAAUUCAAGUUCAUUUUUUGGAUCAGUACAAUAGCAAACACAUAUAAUACUUUGUGCCAGAUUCUAUUGUAUGUAACUUACAUAUAUGACCUUAGACCAAAACCUGAUGAGAUAGGCUCUAAGAUUAUGUAAGUUUGUGUUUGAGGAAAUUGAAAUCCACAGAGGACAAUUAAUUUGCUUGGGGCCACAUAGCUUUUAAGCUGUAGAACUGGUGUUUUAACACAUGGCUCUUUCCAGAGUCAGUGUUCAGAAUCACCACACUGUACUACCUCCUUACUUAGUCGUAAUUUAUUCUUAAACCAAAAUGGUACCAUGCAACUUAAUCAUUCAUCAAUAUCCUACAAAUUGUUUCCAAAUGACUUUGAACUGUGUCCAAAGGCAAACCUAAACUCAAUGAAUUAAGAGUUAUAAUCAUUGCAGCCCUUGAAUAAAUAUGUCGCAUAUUUCCAGCAUUAUGCCAGUGAAUAUUUAACUAGCAUUCUGAAGCAUGUAUGGGGGUGGGGGAGUCCUUAUUUGUUGGCCUUGCUGACUUCUGUGGUAUAACUACUUCCAACAUAAAACUGUCAACCUUCUAAUGUGGAAUCACAGAAGGCAGAGAUGGUACAGUUGUCUCUCAUGAAUUUGUGAAGACCUAGAUCCAUCCUGCUAUAUUUCUAAAAGUGCUUUUAAAAACAUCAGUGUUGAAAUCAACAUUUAAUUUUAAUCAGGACUUUUCUUGCUUAAAAUUCUUUAGUGAAUUCCCUUUAAUGCUCAGGAUAGAAUCCAAACUUCUUAAUCAUAGCUUACAGGACCCUCUAUGGUAUUACCACUAGAGAAUGUCUUCUCUGUGGACAAUAGCUAGUUAUACUCUGUUUCAAUCUUAUCCAAAUUAUUAUUAUUUUUUGUCUUUUGUCUUUUUAGGGCUGUACCCACAGCAUAUGGAGGUGCCCAG